GACAGAGGGUGCAAACGUUGUUCGGAUUUACUGGGCGUAAAGCGCGUGUAGGCGGCUUUGCAAGUCGGAUGUGAAAGCCCACGGCUCAACCGUGGAAGUGCAUCCGAAACUGCAUGGCUCGAGUCUCGGAGAGGAAGGUGGAAUGCUUGGUGUAGAGGUGAAAUUCGUAGAUAUCAAGCAGAACACCUGCGGCGAAGGCGGCCUUCUGGACGAUGACUGACGCUGAGACGCGAAGGCGUGGGGAGCAAACAGG
rnacentral:rRNA from 1 species